rnacentral:rRNA from 1 species
AUUGAACGCUGGCGGCAGGCCUAACACAUGCAAGUCGAACGAGUGGCGGACGGGUGAGUAAUGUCUGGGAAACUGCCCGAUGGAGGGGGAUAACUACUGGAAACGGUAGCUAAUACCGCAUACCAUCGGAUGUGCCCAGAUGGGAUUAGCUAGUAGGUGGGGUAACGGCUCACCUAGGCGACGAUCCCUAGCUGGUCUGAGAGGAUGACCAGCCACACGGGAACGGAGACACGGUCCAGACUCCUACGGGAGGCAGCAGGGGGGAAUAUUGCACAAGGGGCGCAAGCAUGAUGCAGCCAUGGCGCGGGUGUGAAGAGGGCCGUCGGGUUGUAAAGCACGUUCAGCGAGGAGGCGUUACUCGCAGAAGAAGCACCGGCUAACUCCGUGCCAGAAGCCGCGGUAAGAC